CGAGAUGGAGCAGAUUAGGUAGCUCAUCGGACUCAUGAUCCGAAGGUCAGCGGUUCAAAUCCGCUUCUCG
rnacentral:tRNA from 1 species